rnacentral:rRNA from 1 species
GAGGAAAGAGGGAGGCGUGCCUAAUACAUGCCAGUCGAGCGAACGGACGAGAAGCUUGCUUCUCUGAUGUUAGCGGCGGACGGGUGAGUAACACGUGGAUAACCUACCUAUAAGACUGGGAUAACUUCGGGAAACCGGAGCUAAUACCGGAUAAUAUUUUGAACCGCAUGGUUCAAAAGUGAAAGACGGUCUUGCUGUCACUUAUAGAUGGAUCCGCGCUGCAUUAGCUAGUUGGUAAGGUAACGGCUUACCAAGGCAACGAUGCAUAGCCGACCUGAGAGGGUGAUCGGCCACACUGGAACUGAGACACGGUCCAGACUCCUACGGGAGGCAGCAGUAGGGAAUCUUCCGCAAUGGGCGAAAGCCUGACGGAGCAACGCCGCGUGAGUGAUGAAGGUCUUCGGAUCGUAAAACUCUGUUAUUAGGGAAGAACAUAUGUGUAAGUAACUGUGCACAUCUUGACGGUACCUAAUCAGAAAGCCACGGCUAACUACGUG